rnacentral:lncRNA from 1 species
AAUAUUGACGAUAUUUUUUUCUCGAUUGUGUCUUUUUUUGUCUGUUAAAAUAUUGACGGUUAUUAUUUUCUCGGUUGUGUCUUUUAUUGCUAUUUUUGCUAAAAUAUUGACAGUUAUUUUUUCUCGGUUGUAUCUUUUUAUCGCAACUCUUCGUUAAAAUAUUGACGGUUACUUUUUUCGUUGACAGUUAUUUUUUCGGUUGUGUCUUUUUAUCGUA